rnacentral:rRNA from 1 species
AGAGGUGGCAAGCGUUGUUCGGAAUUACUGGGCGUAAAGGGCGCGUAGGCGGCCUUCUAAGUCGGACGUGAAAGCCCCAGGCUUAACCUGGGAACUGCGUCCGAUACUGGGAGGCUUGGAUUCGGGAGAGGGAUGCGGAAUUCCAGGUGUAGCGGUGAAAUGCGUAGAUAUCUGGAGGAACACCGGUGGCGAAGGCGGCAUCCUGGACCGAGAUCGACGCUGAGGCGCGAAAGCUAGGGGAGCAAACGGGAUUAGAUACCCCGGUAGUCCUAGCCCUGAACGAUGAGUGCUUGGUGUGGCGGGUAUCGAUCCCUGCCGUGCCGAAGCUAACGCAUUAAGCACUCCGCCUGGGGAGUACGGUCGCAAGGCUG